rnacentral:rRNA from 1 species
CGUGCAGGCGGUUUGGUAAGUUGGAUGUGAAAGCUCCUGGCUCAACUGGGAGAGGUCGUUCAAUACUACCAGACUUGAGAGUGGUAGAGGGAGGUGGAAUUCCCGGUGUAGUGGUGAAAUGCGUAGAUAUCGGGAGGAACACCAGUGGCGAAAGCGGCCUCCUGGACCAUUUCUGACGCUCAGACGCGAAAGCUAGGGGAGCAAACGGGAUUAGAGACCCCGGUAGUCCUAGCUGUAAACGAUGUGAACUUGGCGUCGGUGGUGUAAAAACCAUCGGUGCCGUAGCCAACGCGAUAAGUUCACCGCCUGGGGACUACGGCCGCAAGGUUAAA